CGAGGGGAACCUUCACCUCCAUGCAUGGCUUGCCAGUUGGCUAGUUUGUGAAAGUUUUAACAUAGAUUACAGGCUAUGAUAAAGCAAGAGUUCCAAAGAAGGAAUACAUAUCCCGUCAACCAGUGUCAGGAUCUAGGAUCUACUCCAAUUUCAGUGGUUUUAAAAACGACAACAACUAUCUCUUCUACCUUAUUUCAGAGGUUUCUGUGUCUAAAAACAGCUUGAUCUGAGUUGCAGAAAUUGCAGAAAAAUUGGAUGCCAAUUCUGCACAGCUGACACUCCAGCAAGAAGCCUUCUAUUUUGGUGUUUGUUGAUUGUUUCCUCACAUGUAAAUCCAAAUGUAAAUGCUUUCCAGGGACCAAUAUCCAUGAGAGAUUUGGAGUGACAUCCUGUUCUGCUCUUUCUACUAUGCUGCCUGAGACAUGGUUCAGCCUUCUCUCCUCUCCUGCUGAUCUCAUCCCAGAAAAAGAACUGAAAGUUAAUGUAACCAUCACAAUCUUUAUUAAAUACUUGCAGGAGUAAACAUGCAGUGCUCCCUGGGACAGACACCAGGUAUGUGUGCAAUGUUCUGGCAUGGCAUGUCUGCGCAGGGGGUGAGCUUGAAAGCUUUUAUAGCCAACACUGAGCAUUCUUUAAUCAAAGGUGCAAAACAGACUGUCUACUAAAAAUCUGUGGGAAACUAACUUAUCAGCCUGUGAAAUGCCUUCCCUGUGAACUCCUCUCUGCACCUGUCAUUUAUCUCCCCAUGUACAUCCCAUUAUGUGUCUACUAUUUUUAUUCUAAAAUGAUGCACUGGUUACAUAUGGCACUAGCUUGAUCCAGUUACACUGAUGCAAGGUGAAUGUGUAGACUUAAACAAGUGAAUAUAACAAAUAGAUUAUUUCAGCUCCUUUUUGCUGCAGCAGAUAAAAACAUUUGUUCCCAUAUAAGCAAUGACAGCUGAAAAUGUGCCUUUUGGAAGCCUCUCGGGCUGGUUUUCUCCCCACAUGCUUGUUUUGAGUGGCAGGAGAGACAUCCAGCUCAAGGUGAUUUAGGAUUCUUCGCUUUGAAGAUUAACAGCUUCAUAUGUGCCUCUCUCUGUUACAUGCUCUGGAAAGAAGAAAGAACCAACCCUGGAGCCCUUAUGAAAACUGGAAAAGGGGCAGCACUUCGCCAGAAGAUCUUGCAGGUUUCCUUGUGAGUUAUCUGCUCACAAAGUAAAUGGGGCCAAGGAGCAAAAGUACCAAUUACAAGCUACAUUGCUUAUGCUUUCAUGAGAGCUGGUGUGGUCCAGAGGAUAAAGUUAGUAAGGUUCACUAAAAAUCAGACUCCUGCCUUAGCCAUGAAACUGGCUGGGUGUCUUUGGACCAGUCACAUAUUCUCAUCCCAUGAUAUCAGCCUAGGUUGACAAGCCCAAAAGUAAAAUUCCUAUCACAGGCAAAGGAUCAACACUAGGUUCAUCCCAAAAAGUGGACCCUGCACUUGUAGAAAAAUGCUACGAAGAAAAAAUGUUUAUGGCUAGCCUUAUCAGGAUGUCCCUGAACAGGAAGAAAGUCAGGAAAGUUCUCCAAGAAUCUGGUCAAAAUCCUAAAAUGGGAUUUAGUGAAAUGGGUCCAACUGAAUAGGAUGAGCAACUAUUGCAAACAGUUCUAUGGAUGUAAUAAAACAUAUCUUAUGUUGGAUCAAUUAAGAACAGCUUUUCAAAUUAGUUCUUUGCAGGACAUAUGAGUGUCCAUCUCUGACAUAGAUUUUAAAGUCGUUAUAGUGUAAUAGUAUCAUUGAUUGUUGAUGCGUCACAAUGGUGAAAAUAAAGAAAGGAUUUAUAUUGCCAUAAAAUGAUUGCACGACACAAUAAAAUGGCACAAAUCA